CUUUGGGGUGCCUUACGGCUGAGAUUAUACCCUUUGAACCUGAUACCGGUAAUGCGGGCGCAGGGAACAGACAGU
rnacentral:ncRNA from 1 species